CCAGUGUUCCGGUUGCGGACUCCGUUCCCUGCGGGUGUAGUAUGGUGCUGCCGUGGAGGAGUGCUUCCAGUCCCAGGCUCAGAGGUGUGCUGUAGGCCGCGGAUUUUCGCCACGGUUUGGAGUGCUUUGUCGUAUGAAAGAAAGGCAUCUAUCGAUGCGUUAUGGCUCUGGGGACCCAGUUGUGGCGGUAAGACGGUCGGAUGGUCUAUAGUUGCUUGGAUAUUUGGUCGGAUUUAAUCAGUUGUUUGGGAGCUCUCAGAUAUGGCGUCCGCUUGUCAGGCUCCGCCUCUCACAUAUGUUUUUGCUGUUGAUCCAAAAGAAGGCAAAAUCCCCAGUCUGAAGCACUUCCAAUUUUGCAACAAACUAGGAAACAAUUCCUUCUUGACCCCAAAAUGGCAGUCAAAUGUCUCUAUUUAUCCAAUUGCUGUUUAAACAUCUGUAUGGACUCUGAUAAA